rnacentral:rRNA from 2 species
UAUUGGGCGUAAGCGCGCGCAGGCGGUCCUUUAAGUCUGAUGUGAAAGCCCACGCCUCAACCGUGGAGGGUCAUUGGAAACUGGGGGACUUGAGUGCAGAAGAGGAAAGCGGAAUUCCACGUGUAGCGGUGAAAUGCGUAGAGAUGUGGAGGAACACCAGUGGCGAAGGCGGCUUUCUGGUCUGUAACUGACGCUGAGGCGCGAAAGCGUGGGGAGCAAACAGGAUUACAUACCCUGGUAGUCCACGCCGUAAACGAUGAGUGCUAAGUGUUAGAGGCUUUCCGCCCUUUAGUGCUGCAGCUAACGCAUUACGCACUCCGCCUGGGGAGUACGGCCGCAAGGCUGAAACUCAAAGGAAUUGACGGGGGCCCGCACAAGCGGUGGAGCAUGUGGUUUAAUUCGAAGCAACGCGAAGAACCUUACCAGGUCUUGACAUCCUCUGACACUCCUAGAGAUAGCACCUUCCCCUUCGGGGGACAGAGUGACAGGUGGUGCAUGGUCGUCGUCAGCUCGUG